GGGGUUGUGGCUCAGAGGUAGAGUGCUCACCUAGCAUGCGUGAGGCACUGGGUUCAAUUCUCAGCACCACG
rnacentral:tRNA from 1 species